rnacentral:rRNA from 1 species
UCGUAACAAGGUUUUCGUAGGUGAACCUGCGGAAGGAUCAUUAAUGAAUUCGGGCGCUCGACUCUGAAAUAUUGAGAUCGGCCCCAUUUCUUAAUCCACUUCACACUUGUGCACAUUUUUCCUACUUUCCUUCGGGAGAGUUUGAAAAGCUCUUGUGAUUUUAAUCAAGUCCAGGAUGUGAAUCCAAUUUGAAUAAGUUGUAAAACAACUACAAACGGUGGAUCUCUUGGCUCUCGUAUCGAUGAAGAACGCAGCGAAACGCGAAAUGUAAUGUGAAUUGCAGAAUUCAGUGAAUCAUCGAAUCUUUGAACGCAUCUUGCACUCUCGAAUCACUAUCGAGAGUAUGCCUGUUUGAGUGUCGCGAAACUCUCAACCCCGCCUCAUGCUUUAUUGCGUGUGGGUAGCUUGGGCUUGGAUCAUGAUCUUUGCAGUAAUGCGCUAGCAGAACUGCUGGAUUGAAAUACAACAAGCUGAAUCUAUAUACUUGCGGCUUGACCUGUCGUUGUAAGCACACAAAUGCAUUCGAUGGGGACGCGAGAAAAUGGAAUGAGCUUUCCAAAUGUGUUACACUUUGCAGCUUCUAUUAACUUAGAGCUCUUAGUGCAUUCUGACCUCAAAUCAGGUAGGAUUACCCGCUGAACUUAAGCAUAUCAAUA